rnacentral:tRNA from 1 species
GGACAGGUGGCUGAGUGGUCGAAAGCGCUCGCCUGCUAAGUGAGUAGGGGCGAUUGCCCCUCGCGGGUUCGAAUCCCGCCCUGUCCGCCA